CGCAUCUGUGCAUGCAGCAUAUCAAUAAGCGGAGGAAAAGAAACUAACAAGGAUUCCCUCAGUAACGGCGAGUGAAGCGGGAAGAGCUCAAAUUUGAAAUCUUGAAAGGUCACCUUUCACGAAUUGUAGUUUAAAGAAGUGUUUUCUGUUACGAUCGUAAUAUAAGUUCUUUGGAAUAGGACAUCACAGAGGGCGAGAAUCCCGUCUAUGAUUGCGAUUUGUAGCUUUGUGAUACACUUUCAAAGAGUCGGGUUGUUUGGGAAUGCAGCCCAAUACGGGAGGUAAAUUUCUUCUAAGGCUAAAUAUUGGCGAGAGACCGAUAGCGAACAAGUACCGUGAGGGAAAGAUGAAAAGAACUUUGAAAAGAGAGUUAAAUAGUACGUGAAAUUGUCAAAAGGGAAGCGUUUAACACCAGUGUUGUUUUCUGAAAAUCAACCUCUGUUAGCUUUAUGCAUGUUUGUUUAGACCUAAUCAGCUAUCUUGCAUGUUCUAUUGUUUGCAGUGGUGCACUUUUCAGUUUACAGGUCAACAUCAGUUUUUUUUACCGUAAAAAAGUUAAAGAAAGGUAGCUCAUGGCUCCGGUCGUGAGUGUUAUAGUCUUUUUCCUAUGCGGUAGGAGAGACUGAGGUCUGCAGUGUAGGCUAUUUGGCUAGAUACUCAGGUGCUAUGUGAUACCAUUUCAUAAACAACUUGUUGAUUAUGUUUUGUCUAUUGCAUACUCGCUUGUACUAUCAUACCUACGCUUAGGAUGUUGACGAUCAGCUGAGCGCG
rnacentral:rRNA from 1 species